rnacentral:rRNA from 1 species
GAUGAACGCUAGCUACAGGCUUAACACAUGCAAGUCGAGGGGAAACGAUAGAGAAAGCUUGCUUUUUCUAGGCGUCGACCGGCGCACGGGUGAGUAACGCGUAUCCAACCUGCCCAUCACUUGGGGAUAACCUUGCGAAAGUAAGACUAAUACCCAAUGAUAUCUCUAGAAGACAUCUGAAAGGGAUUAAAGAUUUAUCGGUGAUGGAUGGGGAUGCGUCUGAUUAGCUUGUUGGCGGGGUAACGGCCCACCAAGGCGACGAUCAGUAGGGGUUCUGAGAGGAAGGUCCCCAACAUUGGAACUGAGACACGGUCCAAACUCCUACGGGAGGCAGCAGUGAGGAAUAUUGGUCAAUGGGCGAGAGCCUGAACCAGCCAAGUAGCGUGCAGGAUGACGGCCCUAUGGGUUGUAAACUGCUUUUAUAAGGGAAUAAAGUGAGUCUCGUGAGACUUUUUGCAUGUACCUUAUGAAUAAGGACCGGCUAAUUCCGUGCCAGCCGCCGCAGUAA